ACAAUGCUAACCAUCUAAAACCCCAUAUUAUGCUUCCCUCUUAAACCCACUUCGAAUCAUCCCCACUCUCAUUCCUUCUCUGCGAUUUCGACACUGCGUUUUCUCUCGGGUGCGCCUCCCUCUUUCUCUCUUGACAUUUCUUUUCAUUACCGAUUCAAUCAAAUCGAUCAAAAUCACAGAUUAGGAUAAAAUUCUACCAGCGCUCGUACAAAACCCUAGAAUGGAGUGGAACCCUGAAACCCUACAAUUCCUUUCUCAAUGUUUCCUCCACACACUCUCCCCAAACCCCGAGCCCCGACGCCGCGCCGAGUCCAGUCUUGCCGACGCCGCCGACCGCCCCAACUAUGCCCUUGCUGUGCUUCGCCUCGUUGCGGAGCCUGCUGUCGACGAGCAGAUCCGCCAGGCCGCCGUCGUGAACUUCAAAAACCAUCUUCGCUGGCGUUGGGCUCCGCCGGCCCGAUCGGAGCCCAAUGUUCCUACCCCAACUCCGAUUUCUGACACCGAGAAGGAGCAGAUUAAGACCAUGAUUGUACCGCUCAUGCUCUCUUCGGGCUCUCGGAUCCAAAGCCAGCUCAGUGAAGCUUUGGCAGUUAUUGGCAAGCAUGAUUUCCCGAAAUCGUGGCCUGCGUUGCUUCCGGAGCUCGUGUCCAGUCUCCAAAAGGCAUCGCAAUCAUCAGAUUAUGCAUCUGUUAAUGGAAUCCUCGGCACCGCGAAUUCAAUAUUCAAAAAAUUUCGGUAUCAGUAUAAAACCAAUGAUCUUCUUCUUGAUUUAAAAUAUUGUCUGGACAAUUUUGCGGCGCCACUUCUAGAAAUUUUUCUUCGCACUGCGGCACUGAUUGAUUCAGCAGCCAAUUCAGGUGGUGUGGCUGCAGCCACAACCCUUCGGCCCCUUAUUGAGUCCCAGCGGCUUUGUUGUAGGAUUUUUUAUUCUUUGAACUUCCAAGAACUUCCUGAGUUCUUUGAAGAUCACAUGAAAGAGUGGAUGAGUGAGUUUAAAAAAUAUCUUACUACUGUGUAUGCUGCACUUGAAGAGGGUGGUGGGGAUGGUCUUGCACUUGUGGACGAUCUUCGGGCAGCUGUGUGUGAGAAUAUUAAUCUUUACAUGGAGAAAAAUGAGGAAGAAUUUCAGGGGUAUUUGAAUGAUUUUGCACAAGCAGUUUGGAGCCUUCUGGGAAAAGUGUCUGCUGCUUCUAGCCGUGACCAGCUUACUAUUACGGCAAUCAAGUUCUUGACCACGGUUAGCACCAGCGUGCACCAUGCUUUGUUUGCAGGUGAGGAAAUUAUACGGCAGAUUUGUCAGAGUAUUGUGAUCCCAAAUGUGCAUUUGAGGGAUGAGGAUGAGGAGCUCUUUGAGAUGAAUUAUAUUGAGUUCAUUAGGAGGGAUAUGGAGGGAAGCGAUCUUGAUACGAGGAGGAGAAUUGCUUGUGAACUCCUAAAAGGAAUUGCAACCAAUUACAAAGAUCAGGUCACUAAGAUUGUUUCCAGUGAGAUACAAAAUAGGCUGAGCUUAUUUGCUGCAAAUCCAGCUGCAAACUGGAAGGAUAAGGACUGUGCUAUUUAUUUGGUUGUCUCACUUGCGACUAAAAAGGCUGGUGGUAAUUAUGUCUCUACUGACCUUGUUGAUGUUCCAAGCUUUUUUGGGUCAGUUAUUGUGCCAGAGUUGCAGAGUCAGGAUGUAAAUGGUUUUCCUAUGCUUAAGGCUGGUGCACUUAAGUUCUUUACUAUGUUCCGAAAUCAGAUAUCAAAGCCUGCUGCAUUGGCAUUGGUUCCUGAUGUGGUUCGGUUCCUUGCGUCAGAAUCGAAUGUGGUUCAUUCUUAUGCUGCAAGUUGUGUUGAAAAACUCUUGCUGGUUAAGGAUGACGGGGGGACUGCACGAUUUACAUCAGCAGAUAUUAGUCCAUUUUUGGUAGUGCUAAUGACCAACCUUUUUAAUGCCAUGAAGUUUCCAGAAUCUGAGGAGAAUCCAUAUAUAAUGAAGUGUAUAAUGCGGGUUCUUGGGGUUGCUGACAUAUCUCGUGAAGUUGCUGGACCUUGCAUAACUGGCUUGACUUCUGUACUCGGUGAAGUUUGCAAGAAUCCAAAAAAUCCAAUUUUUAACCAUUAUCUAUUUGAGGCGGUGGCUGUUCUUGUCAGGCGGGCCUGUGAAAAAGACUCCUCUCUUAUUUCUGCUUUUGAAGCAAGUCUUUUCCCCAGCCUGCAGAUGAUAUUAGCCAACGAUGUAACUGAGUUCUUUCCUUAUGCAUUUCAGUUACUUGCUCAACUUGUUGAAUUGAAUAGACCACCCAUCCCACCAAACUACAUGCAGAUUUUUGAGCUUCUCCUUUCGCCUGAAUCAUGGAAGAAAACUGCAAAUGUCCCAGCCCUUGUGCGUCUGCUGCAGGCAUUUCUUCAAAAAGCUCCCCAUGAGCUUAACCGAGAAGGGAGGUUGGGGCAAGUGCUAGGGAUAUUUGAGAUGCUUGUCUCUUCAACAAACACUGAUGAACAGGGAUUCUAUGUGCUUAAUACUGUUACUGAGAAUGUUGGAUAUGAUGUGAUGGCUUCCUAUGUUGGUCACGUUUGGGUUACCCUAUUUAAAAGGCUCCAAAACAGCCGGACCAUAAAGUUUGUGAAAUCUUUUCUGAUAUUUUUGUCCCUCUUUGUGGUCAAGCAUGGUUCCAUGAACCUUGUGGAUUCGAUGAAUGCCGUUCAGCGUGAUAUAUUUCUUGUGAUUUUGGAGCAGUUUUGGAUACCUAAUCUUAAGUUGAUCACGGGAACCAUUGAGCUAAAGUUAACUGCAGUUGCUUCUACCAGGCUUCUCUGUGAGUGUCCAACCCUUUCAGCUACCACAGCUGUCAAACAUUGGGGAAAAAUGCUGGACAGCAUUGUUACACUUCUUUCACGGCCAGAGGAGGAUCGAGUUGUGGAGGAACCUGAAGUUCCAGAAAUUGGGGAAACGGUUGGUUAUACUGCCACAUUUGUCCGCCUUUACAAUGCUGGGAAGAAGGAGGAGGAUCCUUUGAAGGAAAUAAAAGAUCCAAAGGAAUUCUUGGUAGCUUCACUGGCAAAUAUUUCUGCUCGUUCACCUGGGAGGUAUCCCCAAAUUAUCAGUGAAAAUCUUGAUCCAAUGAAUCAAGCAGCUUUACUUCAGCUUUGCAACACCUAUAAGUUAUCUGUAGUUUGAGACAAUGCCAUGUUGCCAACGUAUGCAUGCACAAUUGGACGUCUUAAUAAGUGCAGAACUCCCCCUGGCAACUGAACCUAUGUCAUAGUUUCAAAGUGGAAGGAUUGGAGGUGGAAAUGUAGCUUGAUAUGCCCUUGUAGUUUGACAAAGUUUUGAUCGGCAAUCUUUUUGUGAGCAAAUGGUACAUCGUGGUUUAUUGGUUUGGACACGGUAUCAUCCACUUGUGUGAGGGUUCUGAUGGGCUUAUGGAGUGCUAAUGAAAGGAUUUCUGCUGCAAACAUAGUUUAUCUCAAGAGUCCAAUGCAUGGGCGCCAUGGUUCAUGGAUCUGCCUGCCCUUCUUUUAUUCCCCCACUGCCAUCCUCUGGUUUAUUCGGUGCAUAGGAGUCUUGUUUAGCAUACAUUUGUGGGCAAGUGGUAGAUGGACAUUGCGGGCUGGCUGUAUCAUUUUUUUUUUUAAUCAUGCCCCCGCCUCAGAAUUGUCAAUUCAUGUAUGCAUUACUUUAUGACUUGCCAGAAGAAAUGUAUGUUGUUUGUGGGAAUCUUUUAAGUCCUUUCUGAUGGUAUACAUGUGAUUAGUGCUUUCAAGCUUUUUCCAGCUUACAAA